rnacentral:rRNA from 1 species
CCUACGGGAGGCAGCAGUGGGGAAUUUUGGACAAUGGGCGCAAGCCUGAUCCAGCAAUGCCGCGUGAGUGAAGAAGGCCUUCGGGUUGUAAAGCUCUUUUGUCAGGGAAGAAACGGCUGAGGUUAAUACCUUUGGCUAAUGACGGUACCUGAAGAAUAAGCACCGGCUAACUACGUGCCAGCAGCCGCGGUAAUACGUAGGGUGCAAGCGUUAAUCGGAAUUACUGGGCGUAAAGCGUGCGCAGGCGGUUUUGUAAGUCUGACGUGAAAUCCCCGGGCUCAACCUGGGAAUUGCGUUGGAGACUGCAAGGCUGGAGUCUGGCAGAGGGGGGUAGAAUUCCACGUGUAGCAGUGAAAUGCGUAGAGAUGUGGAGGAACACCGAUGGCGAAGGCAGCCCCCUGGGUCAAGACUGACGCUCAUGCACGAAAGCGUGGGGAGCAAACAGGAUUAGAUACCCUGGUAGUCCACGCCCUAAACGAUGUCUACUAGUUGUCGGGUCUUAAUUGACUUGGUAACGCAGCUACGCGUGAGUAGACCGCCGGGACGGUACGGUCGGUCGAGAGUUAAACGUUAAAGUAAAGUUAGUUAGGCGUUGAGACGNGCGACGGACGACGACGAGGGAGGAGG